AGAUCUUGGUCCUGGAUAUCGUCGUACCUAUACUGCCCGGCCUUCAGGUUCUUGUUGCAGUUCAAUUCCUUGAAGGAAAGCCUUAUACCAUGUGGUGAUGGUGGUAUCAUGUCCCAUGCUGUUGCUCAUGUUGCUUCUACAAUCAAGGUACUUGCAAGUGAAUCCAAUGCAUG